rnacentral:rRNA from 2 species
CGUGUAGGCGGCUUUGCAAGUCGGGUGUGAAAGCCCUCGGCUCAACCGAGGAAGUGCGCCCGAAACUGCAGAGCUUGAGUACCGGAGAGGAUGGCGGAAUUCCCCAAGUAGAGGUGAAAUUCGUAGAUAUGGGGAGGAACACCGGUGGCGAAGGCGGCCAUCUGGACGGAUACUGACGCUGAGACGCGAAAGCGUGGGGAGCAAACA